AGAAUCAACGCUGGCGGCGUGCCUAACACAUGCAAGUCGAACGCGAAAAUCCCGAAAGGGAUUAGUAGAGUGGCAAACGGGUGAGUAACGCGUGGGUGACCUGCCUUCGAGCGGGGGAUAACGUCCCGAAAGGGACGCUAAUACCGCAUAACAUCCUGCUUUUUAACAGGCGGAGAUCAAAGCUGGGGAUCGCAAGACCUAGCACUCGAAGAGGGGCCCGCGUCUGAUUAGCUAGUUGGUGAGGUAAACGGCUCACCAAGGCGACGAUCAGUAUCC
rnacentral:rRNA from 1 species